GAUGAAGAACUCAGCGAAAUGCGAUAAGUAGUGUGAAUUGCAGAAUUCAGUGAAUCAUCGAAUCUUUGAACGCACAUUGCGCCCCUUGGUAUUCCAUGGGGCAUGCCUGUUCGAGCGUCAUUUGUACCUUCAAGCUCUGCUUGGUGUUGGGUGUUUGUCUCGCCUCUGCGUGUAGACUCGCCUCAAAAUAAUUGGCAGCCGGCGUAUUGAUUUCGGAGCGCAGUACAUCUCGCGCUUUGCACUCAUAACGACGACGUCCAAAAGUACAUUUUUACACUCUUGACCUCGGAUCAGGUAGGGAUACCCGCUGAACUUAAGCAUAUCAAUAAGCGGAGGA
rnacentral:misc_RNA from 1 species